GACGAACGCUGGCGGCGUGCCUAAUACAUGCAAGUAGGACGCAGUUGCGAACGGGUGAGUAACGCGUAGGUAACUGCCUAUUAGAGGGGGAUAACUAUUGGAAACGAUAGCCAAUACCGCAUACUAGAAGAUGGACCGGCGUUGUAUUAGCUAGUAGGUAGGGGAAUGGCCGACCUAGGCGACGAUACAUAGCCGACCUGAGAGGGGUAUCGGCCACACUGGGACUGAGACACGGCCCAGACUCCUACGGGAGGCAGCAGUAGGGAAUCUUCGGCAAUGGGUGGAACCCUGACCGAGCAACGCCGCGUGAGUGAAGAAGGUUUUCGGAUCGUAAAGCUCUGUUGUUAAGGAAGCGGUACUUAACCAGAAAGGGACGGCUAACUCCGUGCCAGCAGCCGCGGUAAUUC
rnacentral:rRNA from 1 species